GGAAAGACUCCUAACGGCAGGAGCAGGAGCUGUCUUCUGACUCUGCUGCCUGUCCUUAGGCCACUUUUCCCCCA
rnacentral:miRNA from 14 species